UGAGCAAACUUCACAGAGUCCUAAGGCA
rnacentral:piRNA from 1 species